GGCAGGCUAAUACAUGCAAGUCGGACGGGAUCCGGUGGUAGCUUGCUACCAUUGGUGAGAGUGGCGCACGGGUGCGUAACGCGUGAGCAACCUACCUCUAUCAGGGGGAUAGCCUCUCGAAAGAGAGAUUAAGACCGCAUAAUAUAUUUUUCCGGCAUCGGGAGAUUAUUAAAUAUUUAUAGGAUAGAGAUGGGCUCGCGUGACAUUAGCUAGUUGGUAGGGUAACGGCCUACCAAGGCGACGAUGUCUAGGGGCUCUGAGAGGAGAAUCCCCCACACUGGUACUGAGACACGGACCAGACUCCUACGGGAGGCAGCAGUAAGGAAUAUUGGUCAAUGGGCGGAAGCCUGAACCAGCCAUGCCGCGUGCAGGAUGACUGCCCUAUGGGUUGUAAACUGCUUUUGUCCAGGAAUAAACCUAAAUACGUGUAUKUAGCUGAAUGUACUGGAAGAAUAAGGAUCGGCUAACUCCGUGCCAGCAGCCGCRRGUAAUACA
rnacentral:rRNA from 1 species